GAUGAACGCUGGCGGCGUGCCUAAUACAUGCAAGUCGAGCGAACAGAUAAGGAGCUUGCUCCUUUGACGUUAGCGGCGGACGGGUGAGUAACACGUGGGUAACCUACCUAUAAGACUGGAAUAACUCCGGGAAACCGGGGCUAAUGCCGGAUAACAUUUAGAACCGCAUGGUUCUAAAGUGAAAGGUGGUUUUGCUAUCACUUAUAGAUGGACCCGCGCCGUAUUAGCUAGUUGGUAAGGUAACGGCUUACCAAGGCAACGAUACGUAGCCGACCUGAGAGGGUGAUCGGCCACACUGGAACUGAGACACGGUCCAGACUCCUACGGGAGGCAGCAGUAGGGAAUCUUCCGCAAUGGGCGAAAGCCUGACGGAGCAACGCCGCGUGAGUGAUGAAGGUCUUCGGAUCGUAAAACUCUGUUAUUAGGGAAGAACAAAUGAGUAAGUAACUGUGCACGUCUUGACGGUACCUAAUCAGAAAGCCACGGCUAACUACGUG
rnacentral:rRNA from 1 species